rnacentral:tRNA from 1 species
GGGGAUGUAGCUCAGUGGGAGAGCAUCUGCUUUGCAAGCAGGGGGUCGUCGGUUCGAAUCCGAUCAUCUCCA